CAAAAACAUUGGAAAUCUGAGCCUGGAGAAACAACAGUGGUGACUUUGAGAAGGUGAUAACCUCCCCUUAUUCUCACCUAUUCCAUCACGUCUCACCCUACACUGCCACUGGGAAAUGUGAGAAGAGAAGGGUGGCAAAGAAAGUGAAGGAACUGAAGUCCAGAAAAUUUAAGUAACUUGUCUAAAUACCUGCAGUCAUCCAGAGGUAGGGGAAACCCUGGAAUCCUGGUGCCUUUUGGAUAAUUAUUAAUAAGAAGAGAUGGGACAUAUGUACUCAGCUAGCAAGGAUAUUAAGGUAUUGAUAUACUAUCUUUAUUUCAAGGGAAGAAAUGAAAUUAGCUCUUUGAGCCUCGAACAAGAUAGAGUUAAUAAAUAUUUGUUGAAGGAAUGGAGAAAAAAAUGGACAGAAGAAUAAUUUUGGGGAAAACAAUAAAAAUAAAACCAGUUUGAAACUCCAGUACAUAAUGGUAUUUUAAUCUAUAACCAAUCAGGCCUUUCUCUAUGUGCAAAUGCACAUAAAUAUAUUAAUUUUUUAUAUAAAAAUGAAUACUGCUAUAUACUAGGU